AUUGAACGCUGGCGGCAUGCUUUACACAUGCGAGUCGAACGGCAGCGCGGGCUUCGGCCUGGCGGCGAGUGGCGAACGGGUGAGUAAUACAUCGGAACGUGCCCAGUAGUGGGGGAUAGCUCGGCGAAAGCCGGAUUAAUACCGCAUACGACCUGAGGGUGAAAGCGGGGGAUCUUCGGACCUCGCGCUAUUGGAGCGGCCGAUGGCAGAUUAGCUAGUUGGUGGGGUAAAGGCCUACCAAGGCGACGAUCUGUAGCUGGUCUGAGAGGACGACCAGCCACACUGGGACUGAGACACGGCCCAGACUCCUACGGGAGGCAGCAGUGGGGAAUUUUGGACAAUGGGCGAAAGCCUGAUCCAGCAAUGCCGCGUGUGUGAUGAAGGCCUUCGGGUUGUAAAGCACUUUUGGCGGGAACGAAAAGGACUGUGCCAAUACCACGGUUCGAUGACGGUACCCGCAGAAUAAGCACCGGCUAACUACGUG
rnacentral:rRNA from 1 species